rnacentral:rRNA from 1 species
UACGUAGGGGGCAAGCGUUGUCCGGAUUUAUUGGGCGUAAAGAGCGUGUAGGCGGCCUGACAGGUCUGCUGUGAAAACUCGAGGCUCAACCUCGAGAUGUCGGCGGAAACCGUCUGGCUAGAGUCCGGAAGAGGAGAGUGGAAUUCCUGGUGUAGCGGUGAAAUGCGCAGAUAUCAGGAAGAACACCUAUGGCGAAGGCAGCUCUCUGGGACGUGACUGACGCUGAGACGCGAAAGCGUGGGGAGCAAACAGG